UGGGGAAUUUUGCACAAUGGGGGAAACCCUGAUGCAGCGACGCCGCGUGAUUUAGAAGGCCUUCGGGUUGUAAAAAUCUUUUCUAUGGGAAGAAAAUGACAGUACCAUUGGAAUAAGGACCGGCUAAUUACGUGCCAGCAGCCGCGGUAAUACGUAAGGUCCGAGCGUUGUCCGGAAUCAUUGGGCGUAAAGGGUACGUAGGCGGGUAAGCAAGUUAGAAGUGAAAUCCUAUAGCUCAACUAUAGUAAGCUUUUAAAACUGCUCAUCUUGAGGUAUGGAAGGGAAAGUGGAAUUCCUAGUGUAGCGGUGAAAUGCGCAGAUAUUAGGAGGAAUACCGGUGGCGAAGGCGACUUUCUGGCCAUAACCUGACGCUGAGGUACGAAAGCGUGGGUAGCAAACAGG
rnacentral:rRNA from 1 species